rnacentral:tRNA from 1 species
GAGAGUAUAGUUCAGUGGUUGAGUACGUGCUUAGCAUGAAUGAGUUCCUGGGUUCAAUCCCCAGUACCUCCA